CCCUUAGAUGUUCUGGGCCGCACGCGCGCUACACUGAUGCAUUCAACGAGUCUAAAACCUGCUCUGAUAGGAGUGGGUAAUCUUUUGAAUGUGCAUCGUGAUUGGGAUAGAUGAUUGCAAUUUUUCAUCUUCAACGAGGAAUGCCUAGUAAACGCAAGUCAUCAGCUUGCAUUGAUUACGUCCCUGCCCUUUGUACACACCGCCCGUCGCUCCUACCGAUUGAAUGAUCCGAUGAAUAUCAUGGAUUGAGGAUGCAAGUAGGUUCGCCUAUCUUCAUCUUCGAGAAGUGAAGUAAAUCUUAUCAUUUAGAGGAAGGAGAAGUCGUAACA
rnacentral:rRNA from 1 species